UCGUGGGCAGAAAGAAAAAAAGAAAGGAAGCAAGGGAAGGAAGAAGAAGAAGAAAAGAAGAAGAAGAAGGAAGAAGAGGAAGAAGGAAGGGAAAGGGGUGCGUUGCUGUGGAUGUCCCUACAGCUACAGUCAUUGAAGGUGCUGCUAAAGGUGGUGUUGCUGCUACCAUGUUGCUGCCUGAGGGAACCCUAGGCUGCCAGUGCUACUGCCUCUGCUGUGGGUCUACAUGGGAGAUGGACAACCACAUAGGAUGAGCUGUUGUAGUACCGAAUCUCAUGGAGAGACCGACGAAGAGGACCCACAGAGGUCGUAUGCUCGUGAGCAUAGUAGGGUGUGACCCUUUAGUUGAGGGGGGCAUGGGACAGACACUCAGGGUACCCAGUGGCAUAUCUGCAAUUCCGUGUGGGACACCCUGGUGCCCUCUAGGGGCGGGCCCCCAGCAUCGGCCAGAUAUGGACACCCCAACACUGUCUAGUUGUGGUAUAAGAUACUUGCUCCAAGGGUUAUACGUUUGGUCAACAAUACCUACCUGUGCCACUUGGCUCGUAUGGAGACGAAGAAGCUAGAUCUUGAAUUGAUUAGAGGGAUCAUCGAGCGAUGGGGGCCCAGCACUCACUCCUCCAUAUUCCCAUUGGGGAGAUCACCGUCACUCCCUUUUGCUUCUAUGCAGUGAUGGGCAUUCCCUUCGGUAGUAGAACCCUGAUUUUGCCUGACACCAUGGAGGCAGAUGAUUUCCUGGACUUGACUGGGAUCACCAUUUCUGAAAGCCAAAAGUUUAUUGCACUGAGCAAGUUUGAGAUUCACUGAGGGGAUGCAUCCUGAGGGGGACUGAACCCUAUAGAGCUCAUCCAGGUAGUUCACUCCUUUCUUUUGUUUGCUGUGGGACAGUGCCUUUUCAGUGAUCUCAAGGGUAGAGUGGAUGUUCAUGUGGUGGCCCUCUUCUAAGACCUUGGUGCGGUAGAUUCCCUGGAUUGGAGUGGGGCAGCCUAUGCGUAUCUAUUGUAGACACUCGAUCUCUUAGCCUAUGGGGAUUGUGGCCUUAAGGGAGCGGGCUACAUCAUUCAGGUAAUCCCCUUUCCAUAUGUCUUUCCUUUCAUCAAGCAUGUAUCUUUAUAAACUUAUCGUCCUGAUCUCCUAAAUCAGCCCUGGUCCUAUGAGCAUCUGGGGCUUAUGCUCCCCCUACUAGGCGACCCAUUGGCAUCCCCUUUCCUAGCGACCACGAAGUGGGGAGAUAGCCGCACACGAAAGGGCUGAUCUCCUCCUCCAGGGACCAUCGCUCGUUCCCUUUUGAGCGAGAUAUAUGAGGUUACUUGGAGACCCUUCCAACAUCUUAAGUUUUCUGUUAGAGCAGAGACAGAGAGAGCUGCACUUUCAACCCGGUGGAGGGUGCUGCUUCCAGGCCUUGAGGGGCAAGUAUGGUAUUUGGGGGAGCAAUUUACUCCCCAGUGGUCCAAUCCUGAGCAGCGCGUCCCCCCUUGUUUUCCUCCUCCUACCAUGCACCAUACAAAGCUGAUUCCUGUGGCUAAGGUCGAGGAACUGGUCAAAGGAGUAUGAGACGAUAGCUUCUUAAUUAUGAUGGGGGAUUACAAGUCCUUUUUAGAUGAGGAGAUUGUCUGUGUUCCUUUGGGUCCCCACAGGUCCUGUGGUGUCGCUGGAAGCCUAUGCCAAAAUUCGGCAGAUGCAUCAGGGCCUCUGUGACGAGCUAUUCUCAAGGGAUGGACAGAUUUCUUCCUUGACGGGACAGAUUGGCUCUUACAGGGAGUAGAUAAGUUCUCAGAGGGAUCCAAUCGGUUCUCAAAGGGAGCUACUCGCCCAUCAAGCUACACAUAUUGAGGACCUCAUGGCACGGUUGGCAAACAAUGGUUGACACCCAAUGUUGGCUCGAUGCUUUCCAUGGAUGGCACAUAUGAUGAAGCUACUCCUUAGGGGUCUAUUGCUAUUAUUCCUGUGUCUCUGGAGGCUUAUGCAAAGAUCAUAUGAAUUCAUCAGGGCUUCUAUGAUGAACUGCUUCUUCAGGGUGGAAAGAAUGUUUCUUUGAGGGGACAGGUUAAAUCUCAGAAGGAAGUGAUCACUCGGCAAGCUGCUCAGAUUCUGGACCUCACGAUAAGAAUGGAAAAAUUCACGUUUGGCACCUGGUGACUCUUCGAUGUUCCCUGUGGAUGACCCUGAGUAUGGAUCGGAUGAGGACGCCGCUUCCUAGAGACCUGUUCCUGUUGUUCCUGCAAAACACAAAUAUUGCUUUUAUCCUUUUUCUUUGUCCCUCCCCAUGUUCAUUAUUUUUUUUUUUUUACCUCUUGUAUUGCUAGGCUUGACAUUUUAUUUUAGAAUGAACAUUUAUCUUUUAGCACUGA